AGUUGGGGUGGGGAGGGGAGGGACUCCAGCCCCAACCGCCCCUGGGCUCUGGGGCUCCGACACGAUGAGCCUUGUUUGAGCCUGGGUGGCAAUUGGCUAAGCAGGGGAAAAAGACAAGCGUCGGGAGGAACCAAAUCGGAACCAUUCCAAGCCCAGGCUUUGGAAGCAGCUGGACUUGGGGCAGAUCACCUGCCAGCUCUGUGGCAGAGAUGUGUCGUCAUCUAUAAAAUGGGGAUCCCUUUCAGCAGAUUUGAAUCUGGUGGGUGCCAGUCACUCUCUGCACCAUGGAAGUCGUCCAGAUAGCCACCUUAGCCUCUUCCCUGGCUUCUAAGAUGGUGGCAUCCAAGGUGAUGGCAGUGAGCCUGGCCCAAGCCACCUCAGCAGCCUGUGGCAGUGCCCUCGCCGGACUUCCGUCCGCAGGUGAGUGUUCAGGGAGGAGCUGGUGUGGAGCGAGGAGGUAGACGGGGAGGGACAGAGUCCAUUUCUGGCUUUACCUCCUUUAGGUUUUUACCUAUGUGUCCAACCAGGCUUUCAUAGCAGUUUGAGACCCCUGUGGGGUCUCAGAUCCAGAGCAUUGAUUUUAACGAAAUUCUUCAGUUUGGGCCUGUUUUCUUCAUUAGUUUCUGGGAGCUCUGUCUCCCGUCUUAGCUAUUUAUUCUUGCUGCUUAUUUUCCCUUUAGCCUCUGUUAUAUAACAAAAACUCAACCGAGUACCUUUUAACAGAAUUUUUAAAAGUCUAUUUAUUUAUUUUGAGAGUGCGCGCGCGCGUGCGCACACACACACACACACACACACACACACACACGUGGGGGAGGGGCAGAGAGAGAGAAUCCCAAGCAGGCCCUUGCUGUCAGCGCAGAUCCCAACUUGGGCUCAAUCUCACAAACUCCUGAGAUGAUGACCUGAGCUGAAAUCAAGGAUCCAACGCUUAACUGCUUGACCACUGAGCCCCUCCGGCGCCCUCAACUGAGUACAUUUUAAAGGUCUAGUUGGCUUUAUUAUGAGUCAGUUCAUGAAUCUGGCAACAUCCCAACUAGCAGGUCUAUGGAACACGAAAAGUUCUCAAAGGCAGAGAGAGAGAGAGAGAGCAGAAAAAAAAUUAUUAGCAGAGAAUCCAUUGUUUUAGGCAAGGUCACCCUCCUAAGGGGAAGGGAAGGGGUCCAUCAGUAAAUUUCCUAGUGCUCUCUGUGAAAUUCCCAUGUUGACCGGCUAAGGGUUAUAUUCCUGGGGCGCUGAAACUGCCUUCAGGUUAGGUGGGAAGUCUUGGUUUACACUUGGGGCUUUAACCUAAGUGAUGCCAUUUUGGGCCUGUGGUUUUCUUUUUAGCCCCCCUCCCCUGCCAAUAACUACCCACCCCCAAGUCAACCUUUCUUAUAUGCUUAAUGUGUUUCCGUUUUUCAUACCAUAUUUAUUUUUGCAAAUGGGUGUUGGCUUUUGUUUGCAAGUUUAAUUUAUAUGCAGAAUAGUGCAUUGCCAACCUUAUUCUAUUGCUUUUUCUGCACUGAGAACCACGUUUUUGAAAUUGUCAGUGUCAGUAGGUGAGUGUCUAAUACUUGCUUCCAGUUCUUGCAAAGUGCUCCUGUGUGCCACUUACCUUUCUGUCUCCUGGGGGGGACCCCUGGGGCCCUCCCACCUCCCCCAGCACAAGCAGCAGCUCAGGAUGGAAUGGGGAGGACCGGGCCCCUGACCACUGCCGACAUCUGACCUCUGACACUGUGCAUUCACCCUCUGUUCUUCCGCGGGAGUCACCCUGUCAUCCACAGCUGCCCUGAGCCAGGCCACAGCUUCCCUGGGAUCUCUGCUGGGGACACUGAGUGGCUCCUCCCUGGUGGAAUCCCCUGCUGCGGCCUUGACCAUCUCCCCACUUGGAGGACCCUGACCUCGGUGUUUGUCGCGCCGGCCGCGACAGAAGACAACACUGACCCUCAUGUAUGAAUGAAGGAACGUUGGCCAAAAGCCCUGGACCAGGAGUCAAGGUUGGCGCAGCUGUGAUGGGAGGAGGUGAGUCUCUGCAAGGAAGAGGUUCAAGUCCUUAUCUGCCCCCCCAGCCCCAAGGACUUGGGGAGCAACCAUCCUCGUCCAGGCCCAGGUUUGCCUCAGCCUCGUGUGGAUUGGUAGAGAUGGGCAGGAAGCAAGGAACUGGAAACAAGAAAUGAAGGGGCCUCUGUAGUAGGAUGAUUGCUCAGCAUGGUGCCCAGUGACCCUCACCCUUUUUAAAAAAAAAUUUUGUUUUCAUAUUUAUUUAUUUUUGAGGUUGAGAGAGAGAGAGGGACACAGCGUGAGUGGGGAAGGGGCAGAGAGAGAUGGAGACACAGAACUCAAA